ensembl:snRNA U6 U6 spliceosomal RNA
AAGCUCGUUUUAGCAGCACAUAUACUAAAACCAGAAUGAUACAGAGAUUAGCAUGGCUCCUGUGCGAAAAUGACACCUAAAUUCAUGAAGUGUUCCACAUUUUC